ensembl:lncRNA
CACUGUUGAAUUACAGUUUUAUUGGUUAUAAAACAAAUAAUAAAGUAUAAAUAAAUAACUUCCUAAAUCAGUUUCAAAGGUUUGGUGGCGUGGUCUGAUGAGACAUUUCACUGGUACCUGUUAGUUCUACAUUCGUAAUUUCAUUUCUGUCCAAAAACACAAAUUAGACCACAGGCCUAACUAUAUUCAACACUCUCCUCACAGUGGACGGGCACCACGUUGCAUAAUCAUCAUAAUAACAACAACAACAACAACAACAAAUUGGGAAAGGCAAUAAGAAAAACAUUAAACUUCAGAUUUGUGGAGCUCAUCACAAGUGAUUCCAGCACCUUCUCUGUCGUUGCCUGUGACGAGAGUAAGUGAAACUAACACUCAGUCGGACAAGUCCAUGUCAAUGAACAAUGUGAUAACGGUACGAUUGGACAAGAACGCUUGAGAGUCUUACAAUAGCUGUAGUUUUCUUUGAUAGGACAGUGGUUAAAGUUUGGUUCCUUAAUGUUUAGGCAUACUUAAAAAAACAAAUUCCUCAUCGUACAAUAACAAUGGGGGGGGGGAGGCUGCUUCAACAGAGGUCACAAUGUAUCAUAUUAAAUCAAGAAGAGAGGACACUGUACACAAAUACUGAAAAAUCAUUGUGAGAACUGGCUUGACAACUUAAAGACUGAGGGUAAAGUCAACAUGGAAGCACUAUAAUGUAAAUGACACAUGGUUAUAAAGAGCUGACAGACUGUUCAAAUGUCAUCCGUUUAUAAUCUCAAAUUACAAAAAGACGUUUGACUUUAUGACACAUCAACCCAAAAGACACAGUCCAGUCAUCCUCAAUGCGCUGGCUGAAAGGCUGCAUGCAACUUCACUAGAAAGGUAAGUGAUUUUAAUGUACAUCACUGGGGAUAGCUUGUCUUCCUCAGUCCCCUACAUCCCACACACCAGCAUUUACAGAAAUCAGGCACUUUUGGGGUAUAUCCUAAUCUGACAGCGCUCUCAUACAGGAAUAGCAUACAGGAGACCCUGGCUAGCGACACGGGGCAACUGACGCAUACCGAACAUAUUUUUGACAUCUUCAUCAACCCACAGGGACAUAGAGAGGUGGUUGGACUGUCUGUCCAGUCUGGACUUCUCCAAUCACCUCCACCUCUCCUUCAGUAUCUACUGCAACAUCGCUCCUCUGUCCAGUCUGGACUUCUCCAAUCACCUCCACCUCUCCUUCAGUAUCUACUGCAACAUCGCUCCUCUGUCCAGUCUGGACUUCUCCAAUCACCUCCACCUCUCCUUCAGUAUCUACUGCAACAUAGCUCCUCUGUCCAAUCUGGUCUCUCUGUCCAGUCUGUCCUGUCUGGACUUCUCCAAUCACCUCCACCUCUCCUUCAGUAUCUACUGCAACAUUGCUCCUCUGUCCAAUCUGGUCUCUCUGUCCAGUCUGUCCUGUCUGGACUUCUCCAAUCACCUCCACCUCUCCUUCAGUAUCUACUGCAACAUCGCUCCUCUGUCCAAUCUGGUCU